UACGUAGGGUGCGAGCGUGUCCGGAAUUAUUGGGCGUAAAGGGCUCGUAGGCGGUUUGUCGCGUCGGGAGUGAAAACCAGGUGCUUAACACCUGGCUUGCUUUCGAUACGGGCAGACUAGAGGUAUUCAGGGGAGAACGGAAUUCCUGGUGUAGCGGUGAAAUGCGCAGAUAUCAGGAGGAACACCGAUGGCGAAGGCAGGUCUCUGGGCCGAUACUGACGCUGAGGAGCGAAAGCGUGGGGAGCGAACAGG
rnacentral:rRNA from 1 species